rnacentral:rRNA from 1 species
UACGAAGGGGGCUAGCGUUGUUCGGAAUUACUGGGCGUAAAGCGCGCGCAGGCGGUUCUUCAAGUCAGAGGUGAAAGCCCAGAGCUCAACUCUGGAAUGGCCUUUGAGACUAGAGAACUAGGGUACGGGAGAGGUGAGUGGAAUUCCGAGUGUAGAGGUGAAAUUCGUAGAUAUUCGGAAGAACACCAGUGGCGAAGGCGGCUCACUGGCCCGUUACCGACGCUCAGGCGCGACAGCGUGGGGAGCAAACA